rnacentral:rRNA from 1 species
AAACUUUCAACAACGGAUCUCUUGGUUCUGGCAUCGAUGAAGAACGCAGCGAAAAUGCGAUAAGUAAUGUGAAUUGCAGAAUUCAGUGAAUCAUCGAAUCUUUGAACGCACAUUGCGCCCGCCAGUAUUCUGGCGGGCAUGCCUGUUCGAGCGUCAUUU